rnacentral:rRNA from 1 species
UGAGGAAUAUUGGUCAAUGGGCGGAAGCCUGAACCAGCCAAGUCGCGUGAGGGAAUAAGGCCCUACGGGUCGUAAACCUCUUUUGCCGGGGAGCAAGGGCGGGGACGUGUCCCGGCCCGGAGAGUACCCGGAAGAAAAAGCAUCGGCUAACUCCGUGCC